rnacentral:misc_RNA from 1 species
UUUUGUGUCAUCUGCGGAGAAACCAUUUUUGGUGGAUGGUGCAGAAGCUGGAGUGUUGAAAAGCUCUGGACCUCUUAGCUUCCUAAAGGUUCACGAUGCUGGUCAUAUGGUCCCGAUGGAUCAACCCAAGGCUGCACUUGAGAUGCUGACGCGGUGGACACAGGGCAAACUAGCUGAACCCACAUCAGAAUCUAUUGCUGGAGUUGAAUCUGAAUCAUGGGUUAUGGUUGCUGAUAUUUAAUAACUUAGUGUUAGAGCAAUGAUACUGGCACUUUCCCGUCCGAAUG